UUUUUUUUUUUUUUUUUAAAGAAAGUCAACUCUCCCAGCCUAGCUAUUGAUGAUAAAUCAGAGGACACUGCAAACCUUGCAAACACAUUAGCAAAGUCCUGUUCUCAAUUAAGUGCUAUAUAAUGACAGGUAAUAAGCUACUCAUUCCAUCAAAGUUACUGAAUCACAAUAUCUUUCUUUAAAAAAACCCAACUGCUCACAACCAGGAGAAAAGCUCAAGGAAACAGAUGAAUAAUCUAGAGGAGGUAUCAAAAUAGUCACAGCUGUGUUCUGUUGUACUGGCACACUCAGUAAAACAUCGGGUGGGAAGGGAGUAGGGUAAGACAAGUCAAAAGGAGUGGGGUAGAGUAACAAUAAUGUUCUGAAGUGCUGGUGAACCCUAUGAAUGAGAAGCUAGAAGGAGAUAUAGAAUUAUCAGCUCUGUAUAGGUUCUAUUAAAGCAAAUCUGAAGGCAGUAAACAACAUUGGCUACAGUCAGAGCUAUAAAAGGGAGAAUGAACUAGGAGGAGGUGGUUGUGAAGGGCAGCCCAAUUGAAUCUGAUAGAUGUCAAAUGUUGGAGUCCAGAGCAUCCCUCUGGCUGCCCUGGAUGACUCGAGCCCCUGGCAAAGAGCCCAGGAACCUUAGCAGCAGAUGAAAAACACCUGUGGAUUCUAUUUUAACCCAUGGGAGAGGCUACCGACCUUAUAUGAAGAAUUACAAGCAAAAAGGGUUUGAAUUAUGUAAUAAGGAAAUUGACACAGGGAAGAAAAGUAGAAUUUUGGGAUUUUUUAGAAUGAAAUUCAGGGGUACAAGAUGGAGGAAUCUGGGCGCGCCCUAGCUUCUUCUUCCUUCUUGUUGUCCUCCGUUUCUCGGUGUGAUGGUGACACUUUUCUAUUGGUUUAGGAUAGGGACACACUGUCCAAUGUAGAUCUUAGGUAUUGGUACAGGAAUUGUAAACACAGUGCACGUAAUUUUGGGUAUACAAUGUGGGAGCGGCAUGGGGCGGGAAGGAGACUGCCAUGGCUUCUGUGCUAGCUGGACCUCGGCAGGUCAGAGAGAAACUAUUAUAGAUGAAGAAAAAUAAACAACCUUGAAAACUCAGCUUCACACAUUCCAGACCUCUUCUUCAGUGGCCAGGCUAGGGAAAAAGGACUUUCACACUGUUGGGGUCUUGCCCAGUGACCCCGACAGUCAAACACAGUGAUGAAAAGGAUUUAUGUAUCCAUGUCCAAGAUUCAUGGUCCUCUAAUUUCUCCUUGUCCACAGGUAAGACAUCCAUGGGCAACUGUGCUGCCAUUGACACUUCAGGCUAUUAAAGAGCAAGAAUAUUUCUGUAGUUCAUGAAUAGGAAUCCAGAGCUGUUGAAGUAGCUCCAGUAGGAAAGAGUAGUACUCCAAAUAUCCUUAGUUUGCUAAUAUCUGUGAGCAUAAAUUACUUGGGCACUAAACCCAUAUUUUCCACUAGAAUAAUGUGUCAAAAUAUAACAGCUCCCAGGAAUACUUCUUCAGGAAUACCCUGAUUCUAUAUUGAGUCUAUUAACUACGUGGAGAGAUUGAAGUUUAGGCAACUCUGUUUCAAAAUGUUCUGUUAAUUUUUAAGUAAAUCUCUCUACAUUGUGCCGAGAACUUAAGCACUCAACUGUAAAAAAGUGCUAAGACUUUAGCUGCUUACAUCUAAAUUAAGUUGCUUCUAAACUACUGAAACCUAUUUUAAUCAAAGGCUGGUCAAGAUAAGAAGUAGAGCAGUGACUUUUGUUCUUACAAAAUUAAAGCCUGCUUCAAAGUCAGUUCUAGUUCAUAAGAAAGAGAAGAAUAGGAUAACAACCCACUACUCCACUACUGCUGGGAAAUAUGUUAGUGUUCUUCAUUAUUAUCAAUAAAGUCCAGGGGCAGCUGUGACUGUCCCUUUCAAGCCAACUUGGAACCAUACAGAGAAGUUAACUAUAGGACAAAGUUAGAACAGUACAGAACAGGACAGGAACCUGAUGAGACCUAAUUAUUCCUUUACAGUUUUUUAUUGCAAUGUUCAAAUACACACUGCAUUUCAGACUCAAGUGGUCUAUGGCAGUUUCCUUUUCCCAGGGUUUCUUCCUAGUUUUGCUCACAGGAAAGCAAUAGCCAGAGAAUUAGGAUUACUCAUCAAGGCAUGACUAAGGCAUGGUGUGUCCCAAGAGAAAGGAUGAUCUCAUGUUUGUGGCAACAGAACAGUACCCAAAGGAAUGCAAUUCUGUCCCGGAUUUGCUCAUGGAGGAAAAGCUCCACAUAAAUGGGUCCAUUUUAGAGUAGGUGCCAGAUAGUGUGGAGUAGAUCAACAUGCACUAUCAGGCUAAAAUAGACUAAAGACAGUUCAACAAGCCGCAAACACACAUGGUUAUGUCAGCCUUUUUACUUCUGGCAACCACUGCCUAAGCUACCCCAGUCUUCCUAGUCACACUGCUGUGUUUAGCAGCAUGUCUUGGACUAUACGCAUCUUCCGUACUUUCAGCAUAAAUCAGAUCUUACAGAUCUCUCUGUAAGGAGACUUACAGUCAACACUGCUCUCUUUGAAUAGACCAUACCUGAUUUCAAGUGAAGCUGCAUCAAGACACAUGUAAUAAACAAGCUUGGCAGCUGAUGGACUCUACAAGCUAGAAUGAAACACCAAGUUUAAGAGGUUUCAUUCUUGUCACUGAGAUCUGCUUAAAGAACUUAGGACACUAUGCCAUGUCCACAAAUCCGUCUACAUUAUCUGUGAGAUAAGGUGGGUGUUAGCUGCAGGGAUCAAGCAGCUGCGUCCCGAUGUGGUGCAUUGCUGGGCUGCCCAGCUCAUAAGUCUGGGAUAUAAAGUGUUCCACAGUGAAUUAAAAGCAGAAAGGGCUUCAUACAUCUUAAAUUGUAACUGGCCUUCAGUUAAAGGAGAUAAUUAACUGGGUGUUCAAUAACUAAGAUCUCACAGUAUUUAGUUCUGGAAACAUUGAUGAGUCAAAUCAGGCAAUGUUUGUAAAGGUUAUGAAAUGAGUAGUUCUGAGUGUUUUAUAAAGCAGUGACUUCAAAAAAGUGAUUCCUUUUGCUUGUCUCUGAUUUAGAAAGAUCACAGGCCUUUGUGAAACUUUCUGGUUUGUGUACAUCCAGAAACUGCACACUAAUAAACACUUUGAUACUUUCUGUCCCAGUUUGAGUAAAACUGUUUGCAAAAAGCAAUGGCUAGGUGGGGAGGGCAAUGUUGGGUUUUUUUCAAUAACUUACUCUAUUUUGGUAAAUGUUACACAUUUAGUGCUUUUCCUCUUGCUAAGUUCUUUGGUCAAAGUAAUUUGUAAUUAUCAUGAUGCACUGAGUAGUUCUUCCAAACAAACAAAUGUAACAUUUAGCUACUUACCAUGGAUACAAAACUGUAAAAAUUUAGUUUUUGCAGCACCUUAAUUUUUAUUGCUUUAGGACUAAUUGUGCAUACACUGUUUGUGAGAGAAAGAUUAUUUAUUACCCUGAUAUAGUACCUUCUAAACCAAAAGACAAAUAAAACUUUUAGUCAUCACCAUUAAUACUAUUUCCUUUCACAAUUCCAUAUAUUUUUACUUUAAGACCUAAGGGAAAAAAUAUUUAUUGGUGCCCAUUUUUGGAACUAAAUCAGAAUAUUCAUAUUAUAAAUCUUUCUCAAAGACUAACCUAUAGAACAAAUUGGUUUGUAUAAUUGUCUCUCUAUCCACUUGAUCCUUUCCAAAAUGUCUUUUAUUUCAAUGCCCUACAUAGUUUCUUUCUUUGUGGAGUACAGAGUCCCAGUAGUACAGAGUUCCAUUUGAAGCAUUCAUGCAGUUGCAAUUAUUUUGUUUUCCAUCUUCCAGCAUAAGAAGUGUUCAUACACUGACAAUAAUUCUUGCAGAAAAUAAAAGCAGCCCUAGGUAAAGAUUAAUUAUUUCAUUCUCUCUCCCUGUGGGUGCUGCACAUGUGUAUGACUGUCACAUUCUAGUAUAGAAGAAAGAAAUUAAUCAGUGUUUAAAUUGCAGAUAUUCCCUAUGUAAUAACCUGAUUUACUCAGUCUAAAAAGCAAGGAUUUUUCAUAUCUAUCCAACCAAUCUGAUGAUUUAAACAAAUCUCAUAAAUACAGAUAGUUCGGUUUUUCUGUGUUAUCUUGCUUUGUGUUCUACCUUGCAUUAAAAAAAUUAUCACUUUUGUUGCAUAUUUCUAUAACUGGAAUAUAAUUAUGUUAUAAAAUCAUUCAUUUAUUAGAAAAAUGAGGCUAGGAAAAAUGGGGGAUUUGCCUGUUCUUUUAAAUUUAUGUCCAACUGAAGACAUUAUUUCCAUCCUCAGUAAGCACUGAGGAUUGCAGUUCGUAAGAAGUGUUUUUAAGCGUUCCUUUACAGGAAAUACUGAAAAAUUAUAUUUAAUUCAUCCAGUUAAAAUGUCAUAACCAUACAAUGGUCAUGCAUUGUUUUCUAUUGAACUUGGCAGAUUUGUACUGUGAAAUAGUUUUUUCAUGCUUUGGCAGGAAAAGGCCAAGCAAUUAUUGCAAUUUUGAAGAAUCUGUGAUCAUAGAACAGUUAUUUUCUUCUUAAACAAAAUGUCACCUUACAGAAAAGCAUAUCUUGAAACUGUUUCACUGAUUGUGUCAUUGUCUGACUUAGCCCCGCUUGACUAACUAGCAUGUUUAGAGGAUGAAAAUCAUAAGAUGCAAGCAUCAAGAUGCCCUCACUACCUUUGGACUGGCAUUCAAUUUGUUUGCAGACAUAGGGAGGAACCAAUGACUUAAAUAUUUUCAGGCCAUCAUUUUUAUUUUGUCAUUUUUAUUUAACUGCUCCAUUUUUAUAGCAAAAACAAAGGUAAUUUUGUUGUUACCAAACAGGGCAUGUGACAUGAAUUACUUUGCAUCUCAA
rnacentral:lncRNA from 1 species